CCAGACUCCUACGGGAGGCAGCAGUGGGGAAUAUUGCACAAUGGGGGAAACCCUGAUGCAGCGACGCCGCGUGAGUGAAGAAGUAUUUCGGUAUGUAAAGCUCUAUCAGCAGGGAAGAAAAUGACGGUACCUGACUAAGAAGCCCCGGCUAACUACGUGCCAGCAGCCGCGGUAAUACGUAGGGGGCAAGCGUUAUCCGGAUUUACUGGGUGUAAAGGGAGCGUAGACGGCAGCGCAAGUCUGGAGUGAAAUGCCGGGGCUCAACCCCGGAACUGCUUUGGAAACUGUGCAGCUAGAGUGUGGGAGAGGUAAGCGGAAUUCCUAGUGUAGCGGUGAAAUGCGUAGAUAUUAGGAGGAACACCAGUGGCGAAGGCGGCUUGCUGGACCGUAACUGACGUUGAGGCUCGAAAGCGUGGGGAGCAAACAGGAUUAGAGACCCUCGUAGUA
rnacentral:rRNA from 1 species